GCUACAUCAGCAGGGGAGGUCCGUUACAAAGGCGAAAACCUCCCGACCGUCAACUCGACUCACGGUGAUAGUGGAGGUUGAAAGAUUACGUCUUGCACUUGGCUAAAGCUCGUAAGACGUAUAGAAUUCACUUAACAUGGCAUCAUUACGGUGUAUCGGUACUAGGCCAAGUUUCAUGCUGUCUUUGCUGAGACAAUCAAAGGAUCAAUUUCCGGGCUUACAAAGAAUUCACACAUCAGGUGCUCUGAGUAAGGAAGGUGAAGGCCCUCAGGCAAGCUAUUUUCCUCCUGUAAAAUCUGCCAUGCUGCCAAAGGACACAUUCAAGGGAAAGACUGCCUUCAUCACAGGAGGUGGCACUGGCCUGGGACAGGGAAUGGCAACUCUGCUCAGCUUGUUAGGGGCAAAUGUUGUCAUUGCUGCCAGACGCCUCUCUGUUCUGGAGACAACUGCAGCUGAAAUAUCAGGUCAAACUGGGAACCCUGUUGUUGCAGUGCAAAUGGACAUUCGUGAUCCUUCUGCUGUAUCGACAGCUCUUGAUGUGUGUGAAGCUAAAUUUGGUCUUCCUAACAUCAUCAUCAAUAAUGCUGCUGGCAACUUCAUAUCGCCCUCGGAGAGACUCAGUCCCAAUGCAUGGAAGACCAUCACAGACAUUGUACUGAAUGGUACAGCAUAUGUCACUCUAGAGGCAGGAAAGAGACUCAUCAAAGCAGAGAAGGGAGGAGUUUUCCUUUCCAUUACAACAACAUACACUCGGUCUGGUUCUGGCUUUGUUUCACCAAGUGCUUCAGCCAAAGCAGGAGUGGAAGCCUUAACAAGGUCUCUGGCUGCAGAGUGGGGAAGAUAUGGCAUGCGUUUCAACUGUAUUGCUCCAGGACCCAUUGAAACAGAGGGGGCAUUUAGCCGCUUGGACCCAACUGGUUCAUUUGCUAAGGCAGCCCAUAAGCGCAUUCCAGCAGGGCGGAUGGGGGAAGUGGAAGAAUUAGCUAAUCUGGCUUCUUACCUUGUGUCAGAUUAUUCAUCAUGGAUAUCAGGAGAGACUGUGGCUCAAGAUGGAGGGGAGUUCCGGUACAUGGCUGGUAUGUUCAACAUGUUGGGCCGAGUCAGUUCUGAAGAGUGGGAUGUGAUGGCCCAAAUUAUUCGGACUGCAAAAAAGAAUUCCAAGAAAUAGAAGAGUAGUCAGAUAGUUGAUAUAUUAAUAAACUUAGCAAUUAAUAAGGUCAAGCAAACAUUUCACUCAUUUAAGCUAUAAAAUAUAUGAUUUUAUGAAUGGAUAAAUUUUGUACUUUGCAUAUUUAUUAGAUCUCACUUGAAUUUAUCUUAUAGGUAAUACUAUUAAAAGUACGUGCGGGAGCGUCAAAGUUUGUUGAGUUACCCUUGAAGGUGGCCGUGAAUACCGUUCUCGCCGCUGGUGCCGCAGGUGAGUACAGAUCAGAUAUAAUGCCUUCAGGAUGCCUCUCAACCUCACAUCCGGCUGUGGAAGCCAGUUCGAGUCCAGCCAUAGUUAGGGUGAUUAAUUAAAGGAGGGUAAACUUUAAUCUUCUUCCAUUACUCACUUCAUAUUGCACUUGAAAUGUUUUAAACGGCUUUUCCUUAUGCACGGUCUAAUUAGAAACUUAACAUUCGUGUAUAAUGAGGGAUUACCCUAUAUGACUAUGUUCCCCUGAAGUGAACGGUCAUUAUUUUAUUUUGGUUGUUUUUAGAAGUGAACUAUCUUCAUUAUGCGGUGUAUUAAAAAAAUGUAUUCUUUUUCCCAGUUCUCUCAAAGUUUAUUGGUAAUACUUGCCCCAGUAUUAUUUUUGUCUGAAAUAAAUGUUUGCCCAAUUUAUUCUUGACUAUUUUUGUCCAUCUUUGUCUCUUCCUGAUUAGGAACGGUAUUUACAAAGUCACUGCAGGCUAUGAAAGAUUGGGUAAACAGAAGUAUAAAAUCGGUUUCAAAAUACUAGGAUAAACAGUAGGAUCACCUAAUAUGCGUGAUCGUAGUAUGCGAACCACAUAUGAGGGGGAGUCUUACAAUAAAUUUAAGCCUUCGCCUUUGCGAGUUCAACCCUAAUGUAUGCCAUUUAUAAUUCAAAAUAUAGCAAAAAUUACAUUUUCAGUCCUAUAUGUGAAUAUAUGACCUGCUGCUCUGAUGACUCUCCCCCUCCCAGCCCACCAGCCUUGGCUGUUAAAUUUGAUAUGUGGCUAUAAUGGGAAAAUGUAAGACUAUUCAAAUGCAGAGCAAGUUUUUAAAGGUAACCAGCAUCUUCAUUCUUUCACCCCUUUUACUGGUAAACUCUGGAACAGGCUUCCUUCGUCAGUAUUUCCUCCUGCCUAUGACUUGGCCUCCUUCAGGAGAGGAGUAACAGGACAUCUCUCCUCCUGAAAUUAACCCCUCUUUUGACAACUCCUCUAUACUUCUUUUUAUAGGAGCAAUGAUUAGUGGGCUUUUUUUCUGCCCUUAAACUGCUUCCUUUGCUGUAAAAAUAAAUAAAUAAAUAAAUAAAGUUUAUGACAAGCACAUUAUAGAGGCUUGAAUACACAAAGUAAAAUCAUUGUUUUUCAUAAGUUGCUUAGAAUUUUUGUUAUACUUUUUGAAAUUUCUAAAUUUAUUAAUAUAAAUAUGAAUUUGCUAGAUUUUGUGUAAAACAUUCUUUUACUUAUACUAUAAUAGUCUUAGGAAAUUAAAAUUUAUAAUCAUGUAAUACAUGUGACUAGUUUGUCACUACAGGUCCAUGGCCUUAUUUAUUUGUGAAAAUUGCAUUACGAUGACACAUGCAUAUAUUCAUUUUACUUGGUUACGAAAUCACAAAAUGAAAGAAUAUUAGAUUUCUUAUCAAAGUCAGAGAACUAUGCUUAUCGCUGGUAAUAAAACAAUAUCAGUCUUUGCCUUGAUUUUUUAUGAAUUUUCUUAUUAGGGUUUCUGGUAUCUUAUCAAUCAAUAUAAUUUGUUAUCAGCUUACAACACCACAUGCGUUGUGUAUCUUAGUGCAGUCACAUUCUCCAUUCUUCAGCGAGCAGAAGCAGAGUUCUUGACAAGACGACGAUGACACGAGCUGGGGUAGCAGCCUGUUUCGUACUGGUGACGGUGAUGAUGGUGGCAUCGGUGUGUGUGACACAGGCAGCCGCAUUACCCACAGUGCACUUUGCCGCUCCAAAGCGGGAUGUCAUGAAGGCAUCUCCACAGUCCACUGCUUUUCAACUGAUUGGGUCAUUCCAAUCGGAUGGCAAUAAACACGACGCUCGUUGCAUCCUGUGCGGUCCCGACACUUGCAACGAAUGUGAAAUGAUGGACUCUAGCGGCGUAUGCCGUCCCAUCUGGGGCUGCCAGCCGUAGAAGACUGUAGAGCUUCGAGGGAUAUUGGUUGAUUAAGAAUUUCGUCACGUGGCCGAGUGAGAAUGGUAAAUGGCUAAAUAUUUUCACAGACCAACAGUUAUGUUUAUUUGAAGAAAAAAAAGACCAUUUUUGCGCCCACAACUGGGUAGGGAAACUGUGAAGUCCACAUUAUGAGACCUGAGGUGCCACUGCAGAAACUUUCUGAGUAUCACAUGCAUAAUUUUUUAUGUUUGCGUUAAAUGAGCAAUUAUCUGUUUGCUGAAAAUAAAUAGCGUAAUCUUUUAAUUUCUUAAAUCCCAAGUGAGCUUUAGAGCAGCCCUGUGCAACCUGCGGCCCUCAGAGGCUUUCAUUGUGGCCCUUUCUCCUAAAAAUAAAUAAGCUAUAGUGCGGCCCCCAGAGAGAGAGAGAGAGAGAGAGAGAGAGAGAGAGAGUGUUACCAACUAGAGCCCACCGAAGGUUUGACUAAAUUCAUAUUCUUGUGUACCAAUUUUACCAUCUUUUUUCCAUUAUAUAUAUCUGCUGAAAAUGUGGUAUUAAUUAUAUUGCAAUCUAUCUCACUAGGGUAGCCUUUCAUUUGCUCAUUAAUGGUUAGGAAAAUGUGUGUUUGAUAAUUCUUAUGUUAAUGAUCCCAGUUAACCAAUAAUUAAUUAUGUUUGUACAUUAUAAUAAUAAGAUACGGUAGCCUUUCAUUUGCUCAUUUAUAGUAAGGAAAAUACUUUUGUUUCGGACAAUUCUUAUUUUUGUGAUCCCAAUUUAAAUAAAAUCAGUAACAAACUAAUUAUCUAUCUUUAUCAGUAUAAUCUCACAUAAUAUGUCUUCGAUCGUAGUAAAUAACAUGAAAUAGUAAGUUAGUAAGGUUAUGUGGCCCUCCAUACCAACAGAGUCGUGACUAGUGGCCCUUUGGGAAAAAAGGUUGCACAUCCCUGCUUUAGAGCCAUACAAAACAGCAUUGUAGAACUGGAAAAAAAUAAAACUUCACGGGACUU